UGGGGAAUAUUGGACAAUGGGCGAAAGCCUGAUCCAGCCAUGCCGCGUGUGUGAAGAAGGUCUUCGGAUUGUAAAGCACUUUAAGUUGGGAGGAAGGGCAGUAAGCGAAUACCUUGCUGUUUUGACGUUACCGACAGAAUAAGCACCGGCUAACUCUGUGCCAGCAGCCGCGGUAAUACAGAGGGUGCAAGCGUUAAUCGGAAUUACUGGGCGUAAAGCGCGCGUAGGUGGUUCGUUAAGUUGAAUGUGAAAGCCCCGGGCUCAACCUGGGAACUGCAUCCAAAACUGGCGAGCUAGAGUAGGGCAGAGGGUGGUGGAAUUUCCUGUGUAGCGGUGAAAUGCGUAGAUAUAGAAAGGAACACCAGUGGCGAAGGCGACCACCUGGGCUCAUACUGACACUGAGGUGCGAAAGCGUGGGGAGCAAACAGG
rnacentral:rRNA from 1 species